rnacentral:rRNA from 2 species
AAACUUUCAACAAUGGAUCUCUUGGUUCCGGCAUCGAUGAAGAACGCAGCGAACUGCGAUAAGUAAUGUGAAUUGCAGAAUUCAGUGAAUCAUCGAGUCUUUGAACGCACAUUGCGCCCCCUGGCAUUCCGGGGGCAAUGCCUGUCCGAGCGUCAUU